rnacentral:rRNA from 1 species
CACGUAGGCACCAAGCGUUGUCCGGAAUUAUUGGGCGUAAAGAGCUCGUAGGCGGUGUGUCACGUCGGCCGUGAAAACCUGCAGCUUAACUGUGGGCGUGCGGUCGAUACGGGCAUCACUGGAGUUCGGCAGGGGAGACUGGAAUUCCUGGUGUAGCGGUGAAAUGCGCAGAUAUCAGGAGGAACACCGGUGGCGAAGGCGGGUCUCUGGGCCGAUACUGACGCUGAGGAGCGAAAGCGUGGGGAGCAAACAGG